UACGUAGGGGGCAAGCGUUAUCCGGAUUUACUGGGUGUAAAGGGAGCGUAGACGGCAGCGCAAGCCUGGAGUGAAAGGAUGGGGCCCAACCCCAUGACUGCUCUGGGAACUGCGCGGCUGGAGUGCCGGAGGGGUAAGCGGAAUUCCUAGUGUAGCGGUGAAAUGCGUAGAUAUUAGGAGGAACACCAGUGGCGAAGGCGGCUUACUGGACGGUAACUGACGUUGAGGCUCGAAAGCGUGGGGAGCAAACA
rnacentral:rRNA from 1 species